UACGGAGGGAGCAAGCGUUGUUCGGAUUUACUGGGCGUAAAGGGCGCGUAGGCGGCGCAACAAGUCACUUGUGAAAUCUCCGGGCUUAACCCGGAGCGGCCAAGUGAUACUGUCGUGCUAGAGUGCGGAAGGGGCUACUGGAAUUCUCGGUGUAGCGGUGAAAUGCGUAGAUAUCUGGAGGAACACCGGUGGCGAAGGCGGCAUCCUGGACCGGCAUUGACGCUGAGGAGCGAAAGCCAGGGGAGCAAACGGG
rnacentral:rRNA from 1 species